UACGAAGGGUGCAAGCGUUGUUCGGAAUUACUGGGCGUAAAGCGCGUGUAGGCGGCUCGAUAAGUCUGCUGUGAAAGUCCAGGGCUCAACCCUGGAAUGCCGGUGGAAACUGUCGAGCUAGAGUCCGGAAGAGGCGAGUGGAAUUCCUGGUGUAGCGGUGAAAUGCGCAGAUAUCAGGAGGAACACCAAUGGCGAAGGCAGCUCGCUGGGACGGUACCGACGCUGAGACGCGAAAGCGUGGGGAGCAAACAGG
rnacentral:rRNA from 1 species